CUACGGGAUGCAGCAGUCGAGAAUCUUCCUCAAUGGGCGAAAGCCUGAAGGAGCGAUGCCGCGUGACUGAUGAAGUUCUUAGGGAUGUAAAGGUCUUUUCUAAUAGAAGAAUCAAUGACGGUAUAUUAGGAAUAAGGGGUUGCUAACUCUGUGCCAGCAGCAGCGGUAAUACAGAGACCCCGAGCGUUAUCCGGAUUUAUUGGGCGUAAAGCGUGCGCAGACGGUUUUUUAAGUCUGUGGUUAAAUCCUGAUGCUUAACAUCAGGACCGCCAUGGAAACUGAUUAACUAGAGGUUGGAAGAGGUCAGCGGAAUUGCCGGUGUAACGGUUAAAUGUGUUAAUAUCGGCAAGAACACCAGAUGCGAAAGCGGCUGACUGGUACACACCUGACGUUGUGGCACGAAAGCGUGGGUAGCGAAUAGGAUUAGAUACCCUUGUAGUC
rnacentral:rRNA from 1 species